rnacentral:rRNA from 1 species
CAGCACAGGAGAGCUUGCUCUCUGGGUGGCGAGUGGCGGACGGGUGAGGAACACAUCGGAAUCUACUCUGUCGUGGGGGAUAACGUAGGGAAACUUACGCUAAUACCGCAUACGACCUACGGGUGAAAGUGGGGGACCGCAAGGCCUCACGCGAUUGAAUGAGCCGAUGUCGGAUUAGCUAGUUGGCGGGGUAAAGGCCCACCAAGGCGACGAUCCGUAGCUGGUCUGAGAGGAUGAUCAGCCACACUGGAACUGAGACACGGUCCAGACUCCUACGGGAGGCAGCAGUGGGGAAUAUUGGACAAUGGGCGCAAGCCUGAUCCAGCCAUACCGCGUGGGUGAAGAAGGCCUUCGGGUUGUAAAGCCCUUUUGUUGGGAAAGAAAUCCUGUUGGUUAAUACUCGACAGGGAUGACGGUACCCAAAGAAUAAGCACCGGCUAACUUCGUGCCAGCAGCCGCGGUAAUACGAAGGGUGCAAGCGUUACUCGGAAUUACUGGGCGUAAAGCGUGCGUAGGUGGUGGUUUAAGUCUGUUGUGAAAGCCCUGGGCUCAACCUGGGAAUUGCAGUGGAUACUGGAUCACUAGAGUGUGGUAGAGGGAUGCGGAAUUUCCGGUGUAGCAGUGAAAUGCGUAGAGAUCGGAAGGAACAUCUGUGGCGAAGGCGGCAUCCUGGGCCAACACUGACACUGAGGCACGAAAGCGUGGGGAGCAAACAGGAUUAGAUACCCUGGUAGUCCACGCCCUAAACGAUGCGAACUGGAUGUUGGGUUCAACUUGGAACCCAGUAUCGAAGCUAACGCGUUAAGUUCGCCGCCUGGGGAGUACGGUCGCAAGACUGAAACUCAAAGGAAUUGACGGGGGCCCGCACAAGCGGUGGAGUAUGUGGUUUAAUUCGAUGCAACGCGAAGAACCUUACCUGGUCUUGACAUCCACGGAACUUUCUAGAGAUAGAUUGGUGCCUUCGGGAACCGUGAGACAGGUGCUGCAUGGCUGUCGUCAGCUCGUGGCGUGAGAUGUUGGGUUAAGUCCCGCAACGAGCGCAACCCUUGUCCUU